CUGGAGCCUGCUCAGAGGUGCUUUGAAGGUCUGUGACCUGAACCCCUGGGCUUCUGCCUCAGGCCUCCUGUGCUCUGCUCUCUGCCUGCUGGGUCCCCUCACCAGGCUUCUGUCUGGUUCCCAGGCUACCUGCCUGGAGGGUCACACCAGGAGGAUUUCAAACAGGUUUCAAGUGGGGUCACUUGCCAUCACUGUGCCCCACGAGUGCCGGAGGCCCCGCCUCUGCUGUUGGCAGCUGUGUUGCUGGGCCUGGUGCUGCUGGUGGUGCUGCUGCUGCUUCUGAGGCACUGGGGCUGGGGCCUGUGCCUUAUCGGCUGGAACGAGUUCAUCCUGCAGCCCAUCCACAACCUGCUCAUGGGUGACACCAAGGAGCAGCGCAUC
rnacentral:lncRNA from 1 species